UACGAAGGGUGCAAGCGUUAAUCGGAAUUACUGGGCGUAAAGGGUGCGUAGGCGGUUCGGUAAGUCGGAUGUGAAAACUCAGGGCUCAACCCGGAGACGCCAUCCGAUACUGCUGUGACUUGAGUCUGGUAGGGGAACACGGAAUUCCUGGUGUAGCGGUGAAAUGCGCAGAUAUCAGGAGGAACACCGAUGGCAAAGGCAGUGUUCUGGGCCAGUACUGACGCUGAGGAGCGAAAGCGUGGGGAGCAAACAGG
rnacentral:rRNA from 1 species